AGUGAACGCUGGCGGUAGGCCUAACACAUGCAAGUCGAACGGCAGCACAGUAAGAGCUUGCUCUUACGGGUUGCGAGUGGCGGACGGGUGAGGAAUACAUCGGAAUCUACUUUUUCGUGGGGGAUAACGUAGGGAAACUUACGCUAAUACCGCAUACGACCUACGGGUGAAAGCAGGGGAUCUUCUGACCUUGCGCGAUUGAAUGAGCCGAUGUCGGAUUAGCUAGUGGGCGGGGUAAAUGCCCACCAAGGCGAGGAUCCGUAGAUGGUCUGGGUGGAUGAUAAGCCACACUGGGACGGGGACACGGUCCAGAGUCCUACGGGAGGGACCAGAGGGGAAAAUUGGGCAGUAGGGGCAAGUAUGACACAGCGAUACCGAGUGGGUGAAAAGAGCGUUCGGGGUGUGAAGACCUUUUUUGGGGAGAAAAAAGCAGCAGGUUAUAACCCCGCGGUUCUGACGGUACCCAAAAAAUAAGCACCGGCUAACUUCGUG
rnacentral:rRNA from 1 species